CUUCAGUCCUUUAUCAAAACCCAGCUGCUGACAGUGAUACAGUCCAACUAAGCCGCAGACGAUCUCUCAACCAACCAAAUCUCUACAGCUUUCAACUACUUGUUCAUGUCGAUGUCGUGUUGUGCUGUGAAUGCUUUGAAUGGGACUGUCAACGACUUUGACAAUACUCCUUGGAUGACCACUGGUACAGCAGGAAGUAAACAAAUUCCGAUCUUCUGUUGUCUGGGGGGUCACCCCAGAUUCCUACGCAACGCACAACGAGACUUCUUGCACCGACACAGUUACAGCAAACUACCAAACAACGGGCUGUUAUGACGCAGUGUACAACUUACUCAACAGCUAUUCAAUAGCAUUCAUAGUCAUUGGGAUCCUUAUCUUAGUCAUAGAGGUGAGCGUAAUAGCAAGUCAAUAGCAUUCAUAGUCAUUGAGAUCCUUAUCUUAGUCAUAGAGGUGAGCGUAAUAGCAAGUCAAUAGCAUUCAUAGUCACUGAGAUCCUUAUCUUAGAUAUAGAGUUGAACUUACUUAACAUUUACUCAUUCAUUGGCAUUGGCUCAUAGAGGUGAGGUGAGCUUGCUGAAUAGUAUUCAGUCAAUGGGAUUCUUAUGAUUGGCACAAAGGUGUAUGAUAAUGCGUUUGUUUGUUCAUAUUUC